AUUGAACGCUGGCGGCAGGCCUAACACAUGCAAGUCGAACGAGUGGCGGACGGGUGAGUAAUGUCUGGGAAACUGCCUGAUGGCGGGGGAUAACUACUGGAAACGGUAGCUAAUACCGCAUACCAUCGGAUGUGCCCAGAUGGGAUUAGCUAGUGGGUGGGGUAAAGGCUCACCUAGGCGACGAUCCCUAGCUGGUCUGAGAGGAUGACCAGCCACACUGGAACUGAGACACGGCCCAGACUCCUACGGGAGGAAGCAGUGGGGAAUAUUGCACAAUGGGCGAAAGCCUGAUGCAGCCAUGCCGCGUGUAUGAUGAAGGCCUUCGGGUUGUAAAGUACUUUUAGCGGGGAGGCGUUACCUGCAGAAGAAGCACCGGCUAACUACGUGCCAGCAGCCGCGGUAAUUC
rnacentral:rRNA from 1 species